UACAGAGGGUGCAAGCGUUAAUCGGAAUUACUGGGCGUAAAGCGCGCGUAGGUGGUUCGUUAAGUUGGAUGUGAAAGCCCCGGGCUCAACCUGGGAACUGCAUCCAAAACUGGCGAGCUAGAGUACGGUAGAGGGUGGUGGAAUUUCCUGUGUAGCGGUGAAAUGCGUAGAGAUCGGGAGGAAGGCCGGUGGCGAAGGCGGCGCUCUGGAACGUUUCUGACGCUGAGGCUCGAAAGCGUGGGGAGCAAACAGG
rnacentral:rRNA from 1 species